UUCCACGUCCUUGGGCAUUCGAGGUGGCCAUUUAACCAGUCAAGCAACACGUACGCAAUCUCUCUCCAAACGCUUAAAUGCCUUGAGAUAGUUUCUUUUCUUGUUAUUACUGUGAGAUUCCUUCUUUUAACGUGAAUCUACAGUUGAAGCAGCAUUUUGUUUUCCCCACCUCAAAGACUGGACUGGAAAGCCAGCAGCAGCCGAGAGGCUGCACCCCCGGCCCCCAUCGGGAAGCUCCCGCGCCUGCACCCGCACCGCACCCCGAAACUGCGCCAAACCACCCAGCAUGGCCAGGCCGACAGCGCUGAGAUCAAAAAGCACUGAGAACUGGCCACCCAACCCAGAGCGGGCACCGGGGACGACUAACUUGCCGUUGCUGUUACUAACCAAAGGAGCUGAGAGAAGUUUGCUGAAGUAUGCCGGCUACAAACUUUCCUGUGGUUAUUUCAAUGUUUAGCUACUGUGUAUGUCUUCCUUACUCAAAGUGUGACUCAGUAUGAACCAUGGAUGCUGGUGAAAAAUGCAGAAUUCCAGACUCAUCUCUGACCUACUGAAUCAGAAUCUACAAUUUAAUGAGAUCCUCAGAGGAAUUUUAGGAAUUAUGGGAACAUAUUUAUUAAAAAUAAAUGGAGAAGAGAUGUAUAAAUCACUGGCAACAGCUGACAUCUACCUACAGGGAAGGUCAGUAUAAGCUGGUAUUUAUAUUACAGAUACACAGACUAUUAGACCUUAUAUAGUUUCUAAAGCUGAGUCAAAAUUUUGGCUUUGGGCUUCCUGGUGGCCAAAGAGAAAGAGCAAUGUAAGCCUUAACAUAAUUAAAAUUGUUAAAAAGAAGAAAAAGUAUUAGUAAUAUGAGGCAGGCAGACUCUAUGGUGGCUCCCAAAUUUUUGUCUUCUGGUAUUAAAAUCCUAUGUAAACCCUUCCCUUUGAGUUUGGGGAAGAUCCAUGACUUCUAACUAGUAGAGUAUGGCAAAGGUAACAGGACAUGCAUGAAUACAUGUGAGUGAUUAUAUUACAUAAGGUUUUACCACCCAUCUUGCUACGAUUUUCAA